AUUGAACGCUGGCGGCAGGCCUAACACAUGCAAGUCGAGCGGAUGAAGGGAGCUUGCUCCUGGAUUCCGCGGCGGACGGGUGAGUAAUGCCUAGGAAUCUGCCUGGUAGUGGGGGAUAACGUCCGGAAACGGGCGCUAAUACCGCAUCCGUCCUGAGGGAGAAAGUGGGGGAUCUUCGGACCUCACGCUAUCAGCUGAGCCUAGGUCGGAUUAGCUAGUUGGUGGGGUAAAGGCCUACCAAGGCGACGAUCCGUAACUGGUCUGAGAGGAUGAUCAGUCACACUGGAACUGAGACACGGUCCAGACUCCUACGGGAGGCAGCAGUGGGGAAUAUUGGACAAUGGGCGAAAGCCUGAUCCAGCCAUGCCGCGUGUGUGAAGAAGGUCUUCGGAUUGUAAAGCACUUUAAGUUGGGAGGAAGGGAAGUAAGUGAAUACCUGGCUGUUUUGACGUUACCAACAGAAUAAGCACCGGCUAACUUCGUG
rnacentral:rRNA from 1 species